UACAGAGGGUGCAAGCGUUGUUCGGAAUUACUGGGCGUAAAGGGCUCGUAGGCGGCCAACUAAGUCGGACGUGAAAUCCCCAGGCUCAACCUGGGAACUGCGUCUGAUACUGGAUGGCUUGAAUCCGGGAGAGGGAUGCAGAAUUCCAGGUGUAGCGGUGAAAUGCGUAGAUAUACGGAGGAACACCUGCGGCGAAGGCGGGUAGCUGGGCCAACACUGACGCUGAAACGCGAAAGCUAGGGUAGCAAACGGG
rnacentral:rRNA from 1 species